rnacentral:lncRNA from 1 species
CUGGGAACUUUGUUGUAGUUCUCACCCCACUAUUCCACAGAGCCGGGACCUAGCGAACUGGCGAGCGACCGCGGUAAAGGUAUCGCACCAUAGUCAGAGGCUACCAGUGCUGAGUUUACAUUUUGUAGUAGAGUACCCUAUGAUCAUCUUUUGUAUUUGAUGAUAAAUAAUGUAAAGAAAAUAAUGUAAUGUAUAUUUGGAGCAAAUGUGAUGUAAAAGAAAUGAUGUAAAGAAAUGUAAUGACGUGACGAAUGUUCAAAUCGAAUGUUAGUUUCCUUUCUUU